rnacentral:sRNA from 1 species
AGACAGGAACUCGAGAAGCGGACAUCCUGAGAUCAGACUUU